rnacentral:tRNA from 1 species
UCCCUGGUAGCUCAGUUGGUAAAGAAUCUGCCUGCAAGGCAGGAGACCCAGGUUCGAUCCCUGGGUCUGGAA